ensembl:antisense Gm15726 predicted gene 15726
AUCAUCUCCUUUCUGUGCUGAGAUCCCUUCACCCAGCUCAUCUGAAAACAGUCGUCGAACGCGGAAGGGAAUCAGCCGAGAGAUACUCACUGACAACAUUGGCUUGUCCGGUGAAUAUGGUGUACUGGAGCUCGUAGGAGACCACGCUGAACUCGUCCUCUGAGGUCCAGUGGACGGUGAUGGUGUCGUAGGAAGCGGUGCAGAGCUCUUCUCUAAUCGCGGGAGGGUUGGGAGCUGUGGACAUCACACGCAUGUCAGCGGAGCAGCAGAUACCAUUAGGACGACAAUUUGGAGGUUUUUCCUCUGAGGCUAUGUGGAGAUUAACGGUGAUGUUUAAGGACAAGAAGAAUAACCGAAACAGGAGAUAUUGAUGUAAAAGAAAUUGAGAGCAUACUGUGAAACUGCCACGAUCUUCUCGAGUGGACUUCCAUGUAGAGCGUACUUUUCAUUACAGGUCUGCGUCCUCUUCUGCAAAACGAAUCUUACCGGAAAUUAGAUAAUGCUGCUGA